rnacentral:lncRNA from 1 species
ACAAAAUCUGUCAUCUUAACCACUUCGAAGUAUACAGUUCAGUUGAACCAAGUAUACAGUUCAGUUGUACUAAAACAUGUCAACCAUUUCGUUUUGCAGAUGGGAAGCCUGAGGCUCAGAAGGAAUGGAACAUGUCAAGGGAUAUGGCAGAGAGAGGACUCACACUCAGACUAUGGAUCGCCUUCAGGUCCCGAAAGAGGGCAGGACAUGCCAAAGGGAAGAGGAGGAACAAGGUGAGCAGCAGAAUGGGUAACCUGGUGUCCAUUGGGGAGGGCUGCAGUGGUGUACGUGCGGCGAGCUGAGUGAGGCGGGGUAAGUAUCUGGGAACAGUGAUGUCUGCUGCCAUCACCUAAGGACAGGAAAGGACAGUGUUAGUUUGGAUUGCCAGCUCAUCCUGUGUGAUGCAGCCAGAGAGUCGCCCUCUCUGAAUCUCCACUUCUGGUUGUGUAAGUGGCGGUUCAUGUGAGGACUUCCCUGGAGUGUGAUGAGGGUGAAAUACACACCCAUGGAA